rnacentral:rRNA from 1 species
UUCGUAGGUGGUUCGUUAAGUUGGAUGUGAAAUCCCCGGGCUCAACCUGGGAACUGCAUUCAAAACUGACGAGCUAGAGUAUGGUAGAGGGUGGUGGAAUUUCCUGUGUAGCGGUGAAAUGCGUAGAUAUAGGAAGGAACACCAGUGGCGAAGGCGACCACCUGGACUGAUACUGACACUGAGGUGCGAAAGCGUGGGGAGCAAACA